rnacentral:lncRNA from 1 species
AUGGGCGGUCCCAUAUGCGAACUAUAUUGCCAGCUCGAUGGAAGCCCGUUUGGGUACUGCAUUCGUGGAAAACAGCAGUGUCAUUGCGUUAGCCCACAAUUGCAAUAUUUUCGUGGUGCCGAUACAUCGUACAAGUAUUACCUUGACCGAGGACACUAUGUUAAACAAUUGAAUGACACAUACGGCUGUCCAAGGUUACACAACUGUGCCGUGACUUGCCUCA